rnacentral:rRNA from 1 species
AUUAUGUGGUUUUAAUUCGAUGAUACGCGAGGAACCUUACCAAGGCUUAAAUGGGAAUUGAUCGGUUUAGAGAUAGACCUUCCUUCGGGCAAUUUUCAAGGUGCUGCAUGGUUGUCGUCAGCUCGUGCCGUGAGGUGUUAGGUUAAGUCCUGCAACGAGCGCAACCCCUGUCACUAGUUGCCAUCAUUCAGUUGGGGACUCUAGUGAGACUGCCUACGCAAGUAGAGAGGAAGGUGGGGAUGACGUCAAAUCAUCACGGCCCUUACGCCUUGGGCCACACACGUAAUACAAUGGCCGGUACAGAGGGCAGCUACACAGCGAUGUGAUGCAAAUCUCGAAAGCCGGUCUCAGUUCGGAUUGGAGUCUGCAACUCGACUCUAUGAAGCUGGAAUCGCUAGUAAUCGCGCAUCAGCCAUGGCGCGGUGAAUACGUUCCCGGGCCUUGUACACACCGCCCGUCAAGCCAUGGAAGUCUGGGGUACCUGAAGUCGGUGACCGUAAAAGGAGCUGCCUAGGGUAAAACAGGUAACUAGGGCUAAGUCGUAACAAGGUAACC